rnacentral:lncRNA from 1 species
UUCAACGCUUCCUGAGUUAUUCUGUCACACUGUCAUAACAAGAUUGCACAUUUAUUCUCUGAGUAUCCAUGCAAGCUUAACUUUCUCAACCCAGCCUUCCUACUGGGUAGAAAAACAGCCCUGAUAGUGACUAAGGGCCUCAGCUAUAAGGAGAACAGAAAUAUUUCUAUGUCUGGAUGUGAAGUCUGGAACUGAUGCAGUCAUUUUGUGAACACUGGAGGAGUUCUUUCUCAGGACUCUAUCAGGCUGGUGUCUUUUGGGGACAGGUG